UACGAAGGGGGCUAGCGUUGUUCGGAAUUACUGGGCGUAAAGCGCACGUAGGCGGAUACUUAAGUCAGGGGUGAAAUCCCGGGGCUCAACCCCGGAACUGCCUUUGAUACUGGGUAUCUCGAGUCCGGAAGAGGUGAGUGGAAUUCCGAGUGUAGAGGUGAAAUUCGUAGAUAUUCGGAGGAACACCAGUAGCGAAGGCGGCUCACUGGUCCGGUACUGACGCUGAGGUGCGAAAGCGUGGGGAGCAAACAGG
rnacentral:rRNA from 1 species